GACGAACGCUGGCGGCGUGCUUAACACAUGCAAGUCGAACGGUGAAGGGACCGGUUUUUGCUGGUUCUGGAUGAGUGGCGAACGGGUGAGUAACACGUGAGUAACCUGCCCCCUUCUUCUGGAUAACCGCAUGAAAGUGUGGCUAAUACGGGAUAUUCUGCGCCUGCUGCAUGGUGGGUGUGGGAACGAUAUUGUUUCGGUGGGGGAUGGGCUCGCGGCCUAUCAGCUUGUUGGUGGGGUGAUGGCGUACGAAGGCGGUGACGGGUAGCCGGCCUGAGAGGGUGGACGGUCACACUGGGACUGAGACACGGCUCAGACUCAUACGGGAGGCAGCAGUGGGGAAUAUUGCACAAUGGGCGCAAGCCUGAUGCAGCGACGCCGCGUGAGGGAUGGAGGCCUGCGGGUUGUAAACCUCUUUCGCCAGUGAAGCAGGCCUGUCCCUGUUGUGGGUGGGUUGACGGUAGCUGGAAAAGAAGCGCCGGCUAACUACGUG
rnacentral:rRNA from 1 species